CCUCACUAUCCGCUAGUCUAGAUAGUGACUCUUUGGAAAAUUGGUAGCCUCUGAAUGAGUUAUCCAACUUCUGCUUCCUCACAUUGGCCACUUUGCAUAGGUUCGGGAACUUAGCAGGUUUUAGAAUGACCUUUUAACUCCAGUAACUACUUCCUUGGUAUUGGUAUCCUUGAUAGAGGGAAUAUAACAUCUGGCAGUAAUCUCAUUCAGGUUAUACUACCUGACUAAAUUUAAUCAUACUUUCAUGUAUUUGUUUCCUCAGUUGGACCUAAGUUACUGUAUUUGUUUUUCUUAUUUUUUUAUUAUUGUACAGUUUCUUUACCUUUCAAGUAUAAAUGUGUAUAUAAAAUGUAAAUACAAAGAAUUCACUAAAAACCACUCAUAACAAUUACUGUGUAAAUAAAACUGGUAAGCAGAGU
rnacentral:lncRNA from 1 species